rnacentral:rRNA from 1 species
UACAGAGGGUGCGAGCGUUAAUCGGAAUUACUGGGCGUAAAGCGUGCGCAGGCGGUUGUGCAAGACAGAUGUGAAAUCCCCGGGCUCAACCUGGGAAUUGCAUUUGUGACUGCACGGCUAGAGUGUGUCAGAGGGGGGUAGAAUUCCACGUGUAGCAGUGAAAUGCGUAGAGAUGGUGGAGGAAUACCGAUGGCGAAGGCAGCCCCCUGGGAUAACACUGACGCCUCAU